UCAAAACAAUUUCGGGGGAGAAACUCCCGGACACCAAUAUAGUCCGCACCCCUCUUAGAAAAUACUUACAACGUCCCUGUAGGGAGUUAUUUAUAAUUUGGCCAGAGUGUUUCAUUUUCCUAUCCCACAACCCCCACACUUUUAAAAAGCUUGAUACGCCUCUGACACACACACACAACAUACAGGAACAUCACAAUGCAACUAAGCUCGGCGCUACAAUUAUGAUCAAAGGCCUAUGCAAUUAUUGACAGAAUUUAACGGACCUUUGUUCCUCCCGGUUC